rnacentral:rRNA from 1 species
CCUACGGGUGGCAGCAGUCGAGAAUCAUUCACAAUGGGGGAAACCCUGAUGGUGCGACGCCGCGUGGGGGAAUGAAGGUCUUCGGAUUGUAAACCCCUGUCAUGUGGGAGCAAAUUAAAAAGAUAGUACCACAAGAGGAAGAGACGGCUAACUCUGUGCCAGCAGCCGCGGGAAUACAGAGGUCUCAAGCGUUAUUCGGAAUCACGGGGCGUAAAGCGUGCGUAGGCUGUUUCGUAAGUCGUGUGUGAAAGGCGCGGGCUCAACCCGCGGACGGCACAUGAUACUGCGAGACUAGAGUAAUGGAGGGGGAACCGGAAUUCUCGGUGUAGCAGUGAAAUGCGUAGAUAUCGAGAGGAACACUCGUGGCGAAGGCGGGUUCCUGGACAUUAACUGACGCUGAGGCACGAAGGCCAGGGGAGCGAAAGGGAUUAGAUACCCGAGUAGUC